UUUUAAACUUACUGAUUUGAGAGACACAGAGACAUUGAUUUGUUCUACUUAUUCUUGCAUUCAUUGGUUGAUUUUUAUAUAUGCCCUGGCCAGGUAUUAAACCUGCAACUUUGGCGUAAUUACAUUUUGGCUAUGACGAUGUGUUAAGAAAUGUAUAAUUUUGAGUGGUCAGCAUUCCCAGAAAGUUGAUGAGAUAUAUUGCUUUAAGAAUCUGCACUAUGAUCUUUCAGACUGAAUAUCCAGAUAUGUAGAGCCAAAAUGGUCCAGAUUGCUCAAUUUUGGGGUUCUUGAGUCUCUUUUUGAAUAGUUCUUUUCUUUUCCUUAUAAAACUCUUUUUCUCAGACUUGCUGCUUUUAAUCUGUAAGGAGCUUUGAAACAAGAUAACCAUCCUUCUUGUAAGAUGUAUACAAUAAAAGCAAGCAGCCCCUGACUCAAAAUUUGUGGAGUAUUCUAGUUAUAGGGGUAGGAUAGAGAAGUUGUUGGCUGGUUGAUUUUGGCAUAGGUAAGGACUUCUUCUUUUAGUCUUGUGUCUUUUAUAUGAUGUCCAUGUUCUGGAUAAAAUUAUUUUUACUACAGAGCAGCAGUUUAUUACUGAAUGCAGGAAACAAGGCCAUAUAAAUUAAGAGGCAGGUUUUUAUGAUUAAAAAAUUUCCCUCCUUUAGGGUAGUGGAAUUGCCUGUGGAGUGUCUGCCUCUCCACCCCUUCUCUGCCUGGUAUAGCCCACUUGUAGUGUUCUUUCUUGAGAAAGUGUGUCCUCGUUUGGGGGCACGUUCCAUGGACUGCCAGCUCACUCAGUGUUCUCCCCACAGCCAUUCACCAGAGUAGGCCAGGGCAUGACUGCUUAUGUCUAGUGUCUGGCAGGCCGUGCAUGGGAAGGGUCCCCUGGGGUGAGUUCCCUGGGAUGACACUUGGGCCCUGGUCUGCUGAACACUGCUGGCCUCCCUCCCUUAUUGAUUUGCACGAAAAGUGGCUGAAUUUGGGUUUGGGAAAGCUGGGUCAGACCCCUUCCCCAGCUUCUUGGGGUCCAUCUGGUAAAAGAGUAAGAGGACUUUAAGGCAUGUAACUUGACUGACAGCACACUAAGAUCCCUGAGUGUGUGUAUGAGGGGGAGUUACCAGUUUGUUUCUGGGAAUCUGUGAAGGCUUCCAGAGAAGGAGAAACUUGGAACCAGUGGUGGGAAAUGAUAGGAGUUGGCCUGGUAAAUACUGUUAGGAGGGGGAGAGGUGGUUGAUGAGAG